CCUCCGAACGCCAAGAGAGCCUAGCCACGAAAACCCGUUCGAUGGUACCGAACUAGUAUUAUAUGGCCUGUAUCUCUCUCCCAACAUCCGGCUGGAACAAACCCCCCAGAACUUCCUGCGAAGUUGACCCCUCCAUCACCUCAUCCGAUCGAUUUCAUCCACCUCUCGCCUCCUACCUCCGCACCACCUGAAGUACAUUCUAAGCCCUGGCCCCCAAACCUUGACGGAGAGGGGGGUCGAUAGUCCACUUCUUAAGCAAUAGUCCGGUGGGGGAGAAACGGCUAACCCGCACCUUAUAUUGACAUAGGCUAGCAUAUGGAGUAACCCUCGUUGAACCAAGGCCCCCCGACCCGCUUUGGCUGAUCGGGGGUUCCGGGAGCAAAUUCUGGUGGGCGAGUACAGUGGAUCCUAGAUCGAUCGAACAAGGUAACUUCGAAAACAAACUCCCGAAUCUUUCCCAAACAGCUCUUCCAUAGUUUUCCAGUCCGCAGCACGACUCAGGUUUGGAUGGGCGAAAUCACGACGGCAGCCACAAAAAAAUGGAUCUCCGACAUCACACAACCCGACACACCUAAGUUUCGCGAGGCUCGGCCCCUCUUCCCCUUCGGAUGUCCCCUUCGGUACACCACCACAUCAUGCCAUCCAGUCUGGAGCGUCGCCGACUCCCGUUGGCCAAGGUAGGGCCAACACAAGAGUAGCGGACGAACCAGUCAUCUGGUCUUACCGGAGAAAGGGAGAGGUAGACUGCCACCACCAAACCCCACCCAAGCACACACCAGGCAGCAAAAAGCCAUCAUCCUAAAAGAUGGUCCCACUUCACAAGACGAGGAGGUUCCCCGUCUUCAUUCCAACCCCAGGUGAGAACACACACACCCUUCUUUGCGAUGGAUAAAAGGCAAAAAGAGAGGGCAAAAAAGCCAACGGCAAAUUCCAACCAGACCCCCAGAGGCACACACCACAAAAAGUGAAGCCAGAGAGAGCCAGACAAAGAGAAGGAUAGAGAGAGAGGGAGAGUUAGACCCCCCCGGAAGAGAAUCAUAGGUGCUGCGGCCUUUUUCGGGAAUGUGACCAGGAAAGAGAGAAACCGACGAGGCCGAUACACACAUUAAAAAAUGAAAAAGUAACCAUCACCGCGAAGGAUUUUCCUCAAAAGACAAAUCAGCAAGAAGUAUGUCCAAUCCCGGGGCCCAUCGCCCCUCCAAAUUAAUGGAGGGGUCGGAUAGAAAUUUAUAGAAAUGUUACUUUUGUGAACCCCUAGCCGACGAGAGACUCUCACCGGUUUCGAAGUUCCAUUUUCACAUUCCGACCUGGGAUGUUAUGACUCCUCGCCCACACUGCGAACGCGUCCCACACCCCCUCCAAGUUAUCAGGAAUUUCACCUGAGCUUGCAAUAGAGAUCGAGCGCGGUGGCGGUCACAGUGGUGGUCGACCAGGCGGAGCUGAACGGCCUCGGCAAACACUUCUCCCCACCCUCCCAAAUGAAUGAGAGAAUGGCUUGACAAUACCGAGGCCAUCGCCCCCCGCCAAAAAUGGUUACUAGCUCUUGGACUCGCUGCGACGUUACGCGUAUCGGCACAAGACCAACCCUCUUUUUCCAGUCGCCCGCGCACCAAAAAAAAUUUUGGCAGCGGGACUCACAAUCCUUGACAGCCAGCUCACCAUAUAUACUCGGCGACCCUCCGCGGGACCUCCUCAGAGGGUCGCGUCGCCGGGAAACUAACCCCCACUCCUCACUGAUCCAAGUAACACGCCAGAAGUAUCCAGGUAACCCCAGUAGUAUCCAGGUAUCCCCCCUGCGAACGUCGGUACUGGGCUCAAGAAGGCAGCGAGCAGUCGGGACCCGUAGGCACCGAGCAACCGUCACCCCCUCACGACUUUUCCCGAGACGCUUCAGAGGAACCCUUCCCCCACAUAGUACUCUCUGUGGGAUUCGGCAGGCCCCCCCGUCCUACUGCACUAAGGAAGUUCCGAGACACACUUUUUUUUGUGGAAGACCACCCACCCUCCCUGUCCUGCCUGCUAUCCCCGCCGCGACUCCUGGUCCCGGCCCUCCUCCCCGACUUCCUCCUUGUCCCGCUGCGAGUCCCGGACCUCCUCCCCCACUACCUACUCCCGCCGCGAGUCCCAGUCCCGGCCUUCCUCCUCCUCCUCCUCUUCCCUAGUCCCGGCGCGAGUCCCGGACCUCCUCCCCCACUUCCUAGUCCCGUCGCGAGUCCCGGACCUCCUCCCCCUCUUCCUAGUCCCGGCGCGAGUCCCGGACCUCCUCCUUCUCUUCCUUGUCCCGCCGCGAGUCCCAGUCCCGUCGCGAGUCCCGGACUUCCUCCUUCUCUUCCUUGUCCCGCCGCGACUCCCUAGUCCCGUGGCGAGUCCCGGACUUCCUCCUCGACUCCCUAGUCCCGGCGCGAGUCCCAGUCCCGGCGCGAGUCCCGGACUUCCUCCUCCUCUUCCUUGUCCCGCCGCGACUCCCUAGUCCCGGCGCGAGUCCCAGUCCCGUCGCGAG
rnacentral:lncRNA from 1 species